rnacentral:lncRNA from 1 species
GGAGAAUUCAUACUGGAGAGAAAGCUUACAAAUGUAAGAGUUUGUGACAAGAAUCUUGGGCGUGAUUCACACCUGGCCCAACAAACUAGAAGUCACACUGGAGAGAAACCUUACAAGCGUACUGAGUGUGGCAAAGCCUUUAGUGGGCAGUCAACACUUAUUCACCAUCAGGCAAUCCAUGGUAUAGGGAAACUUUACUAAUGUAAUGAUUAUCACAAAGUCUUCAGUAACACUACAACCAUUUCAAAUCAUUGGAGAAUCCAUAAUGAGAGAUUUUGAAAGUGUAAUAAAUGUGGCAAAUUUUUCAGACGUUGUUCAUACCUUGCAGUUCAUCGGUGAACUCAUGCUGGAGAGAAACCUUACAAAUGUCAUGAUUGUGGCAAGGUCUUCAGUCUAGCUUCAUCUUAUGCAAAACAAGAGAAUUCAUACAGGAGACAAACUUCACAAGUAUGAUGAUUGCAGCAAAGCCUUUACUUCACGUUCACACCUAAUUAGACAAACUUCACAAGUAUGAUGAUUGCAGCAAAGCCUUUACUUCACGUUCACACCUAAUUAGACAUCAGAGAAUCCAUACUGGACAGAAAUCUUACAAAUGUCAUCAGUGUGGCAAGGUCUUCAGUCUGAGAUCACCCCUUA